CCUGCGCGCAAACGCGGUUCCAGUCGCGGGGGGGGGGCCCUUAGGGAAGCAGCUGGCCUGCCCGGCGCUCGGGUGGGCUUCCCUUUUCCAUGUGCUCCAGGUCCCACCGCGUGGAAGGCUAUCUGGGGGCAGAAACCCAGCCUUUAAGUUGUGUCGUAUCCCCCCGAGCCAGAGGAGGGGAACUUGUUCUUCCUCACACAGCGCUCCGAGGUUUCAUUUAAAUCCGAGUCACCUGACCACUGGGUCACCCCCCCCCCCCCCGGGGAGCCCAGCCAAUCAUCAGUCUGCCCUUGGACUCCCUCAGGUGGUGACGGGGCCGCAGGUAGACUUGGGGGGCCCCGGGGAGGGGUCAGCCACGGGACGCUGCUGCUUCUGGACGAAACAGGGAAAAUAGUGGAGGAACCCUGGAUGAGGUCAUCUCUCGAGAGCCCUUCCAACUCUAAACAUCUCUGGUGUGUACAGUUACAAGUGUGUGUACAGACGUAUACACUGAGAAAAUCUCCACACCUGCCGGAUCAUUUUUACUGUUGUGUGACCUUACGACGUUGAAGGCAUUUUCACUAGCUUUUCCCCUCCUGGCUUCCUGACUUUCUUCAAGUUCCAGCUAAAAUCCCAGAUUCUACAAGAAGCAUAAAUGGUUCAAGUGGAUCAAGCACCAGACCUGGAGUCAAGAGGACCUGAAUUCAAAUCCAGCCUCAGAUAUUUCCUAGCUGGUUAGCUCCAGGGUAGGAGCAUAACAGACCUAAGCAAGAACAUGACUCCUUUGUGAUUGACCUGGAGAUUGGACUGAUCCUGUGUGAGCCUAGAGGCUUUGGGCCCAGGACCUGCCUGAGUUAGCAGUGAUCGCUUCAUUGGCAGAU